AGGGAGUACGCUCGCAAGAAUGAAACUCAAAGGAAUUGAUGGGGGCCCACACAAGUGGUGGAGCAUAUGAUUUGAUUCGAUGCAAAGCGAAGAACCUUACAAGGGCUUGACAUGUCGUGAAUCCUCUUGAAAGAGAGGGAUGCCUUCGGGAACACGAACACAGGUGGUGCAUGGCUGUCGUCAGCUCGUGCCAUAAGGUGUUGGGUUAAGUCCCGCAACGAGUGCAACCCUCGUGUUUAGUUGUCACUGUUGAGUUUGGAACCCUAAGCAGACUGUCGGUGAUAAGCCCGAGGAAGGUGAGAAUGACGUCAAGUCAUCAUGCCCUUUAUGCCCUGGGCGACACAUGUGCUACAAUGGCCGGGACAAAGGGUCGCAAUCUUGCAAGGGUGAGCUAACUCCAAAAACUCGUCCUCAGUUCAGAUUGCAGGCUACAACUUGCCUAUAUGAAGCCGGAAUCACUAGUAUGCUCGGGGAUGGAAAUGAGGGAAUGUCUAUAAUACCUGGAUUGAAUCAGAUACAAUUUGAAGGAUUUUAUGGGUUCAUUGA
rnacentral:ncRNA from 1 species